ACCUGGUCUUCAUGUUGUCAUAACCAAGCCUACAUCACCUGUAUAGGUACAACACCUGGUCUUCAUGUUGUCAUAACCAAGCCUCUGUAUAGGUACAACACCUGGUCUUCAUGUUGUAAUAACCAAGCCUACAUCACCUGUAUAGGUACACCACCUGGUCUUCAUGUUGUCAUAACCAAGCCUACAUCACCUGUAUAGGUACAACACCUGGUCUUCAUGUUGUCAUAACCAAGCCUACAUCACCUGUAUAGGUACAACACCUGGUCUUCAUGUUGUAAUAACCAAGCCUACAUCACCUGUAUAGGUACACCACCUGGUCUUCAUGUUGUCAUAACCAAGCCUACAUCACCUGUAUAGGUACAACACCUGGUCUCCAUGUUGUCAUAACCAAGCCUACAUCACCUGGUCCUCAUGUUGUCAUAACCAAGCCUACAUCACCUGGUCCUCAUGUUGUCAUAACCAAGCCUAAAUCACCUGUAUAGGUACAACACCUGGUCUUCAUGUUGUCAUAACCAAGCCUACAUCACCUGUAUAGGUACAACACCUGGUCUUCAUGUUGUCAUAACCAAGCCUACAUCACCUGUAUAGGUACACCACCUGGUCUUCAUGUUGUCAUAACCAAGCCUACAUCACCUGUAUAGGUAAAACACCUGGUCUCCAUGUUGUCAUAACCAAGCCUACGUCACCUGUAUAGGUAAAACACCUGGUCUUCAUGUUGUCAUAACCAAGCCUCUGUAUAGGUACAACACCUGGUCUUCAUGUUGUCAUAACCAAGCCUACGUCACCUGUAUAGGUACAACACCUGGUCUUCAUGUUGUCAUAACCAAGCCUACGUCACCUGUAUAGGUACAACACCUGGUCUCCAUGUUGUCAUAACCAAGCCUACAUCACCUGUAUAGGUACACCACCUGGUCUUCAUGUUGUAAUAACCAAGCCUACAUCACCUGUAUAGGUACAACACCUGGUCCUCAUGUUGUAAUAACCAAGCCUACAUCACCUGUAUAGGUACACCACCUGGUCUUCAUGUUGUCAUAACCAAGCCUACAUCACCUGUAUAGGUAAAACACCUGGUCUUCAUGUUGUCAUAACCAAGCCUCUGUAUAGGUACAACACCUGGUCUUCAUGUUGUAAUAACCAAGCCUACAUCACCUGUAUAGGUACACCACCUGGUCUUCAUGUUGUCAUAACCAAGCCUACAUCACCUGUAUAGGUACACCACCUGGUCUUCAUGUUGUAAUAACCAAGCCUACAUCACCUGUAUAGGUACAACACCUGGUCUUCAUGUUGUCAUAACCAAGCCUACAUCACCUGUAUAGGUACAACACCUGGUCUUCAUGUUGUAAUAACCAAGCCUACAUCACCUGUAUAGGUACAACACCUGGUCUUCAUGUUGUCAUAACCAAGCCUACAUCACCUGUAUAGGUACAACACCUGGUCUUCAUGUUGUCAUAACCAAGCCUACAUCACCUGUAUAGGUACAACACCUGGUCUCCAUGUUGUCAUAACCAAGCCUACAUCACCUGUAUAGGUACAACACCUGGUCUCCAUGUUGUCAUAACCAAGCCUACAUCACCUGUAUAGGUACAACACCUGGUCUUCAUGUUGUCAUAACCAAGCCUACAUCACCUGUAUAGGUACAACACCUGGUCUUCAUGUUGUAAUAACCAAGCCUACAUCACCUGUAUAGGUACACCACCUGGUCCUCAUGUUGUCAUAACCAAGCCUACGUCACCUGUAUAGGUACAACACCUGGUCUCCAUGUUGUCAUAACCAAGCCUACGUCACCUGUAUAGGUACAACACCUGGUCUUCAUGUUGUCAUAACCAAGCCUACGUCACCUGUAUAGGUACACCACCUGGUCUUCAUGUUGUCGGAGGCUGAUCCCCAGCUGGCAGACACAGUGAGAAAGGAAUUUCCCGUCUCCCUCAGCCCAAGCUGAUCCACGAGCUCUCCUCUUCCUUCUCCAGACUCCGGUAUCCACAGUGGAUCCUGUUAUAUCCAUGGACUACCACACUGGGCAUACAGAGAGGUUGUAUACCAAUACACUUGGACUGUACUGUGAGAAAACAUGGUGUCCACUGUUUUAAUGUUUCGUUUUGUAGAUCUUGGUCUUUAAAAAUGGAAAGGGGGCGAAAAGAAGAAGAUAAAACACAAUUAUUUGUUUGUUUAACUUGUUUAAAAUAAAAUGGUAUUGUUAUUUGAUAUCGUGUUUUAAUCAUGUAGUAUCUCCUAUGUGGCUAGAAAAGGAUCAUUACAUUGUAUAUUCCAAUGUGGCCCUACUGUAUUUUUCAGUGUCGGGAUGCAAAAUGUUCCUCACGUUCCCGGGUAUUCCAGAAAUCCUGGUUGGAGGCUCCGGAUUUCCUGCUUAAUCCCUCCUGAUUCCAGGGAACCUCCAUCUGGGAUUUCUGGGAAAACAUGUUCAUUUUGGGGAAAGUUAUCACCAUUUUGCAGUCAUGUUUCUGUCAGUCUGUAGACAAGGAGAGCUUUUCCCAGCUCAUAACACAGAUAAUUGAAUGGACUUAUUUACCCAGUCAACUUGUUGCUGUUUUUAAUAAAGAUAUUAAAUAUU